GUUGACAUUCUUUGUUGAAAAGUCACAAUCAACAUUCAUUACUGUCGGUGGGUUGUGAUAAAUGAAAAAAACUCACCGCCAGAUGAAUGCCACUGUGGCUAGGCAUGCCGCCGACCUGAAGC
rnacentral:pre_miRNA from 13 species